rnacentral:rRNA from 1 species
GACGAACGCUGGCGGCGUGCUUAACACAUGCAAGUCGAACGGAAAGGCCCCGCUUGCAGGGUGCUCGAGUGGCGAACGGGUGAGUAACACGUGGGUGAUCUGCCCCUUAUUUUGGGAUAAGCCUGGGAAACUGGGUCUAAUACUGGAUAGGACCAUGCUGUAGGUGGUGUGGUGGAAAGAUUAGUUUCGGUAAGGGAUGAGCUCGCGGCCUAUCAGCUUGUUGGUGGGGUAGUGGCCUACCAAGUCGUCGACGGGUAGCCGGCCUGGGAGGGUGGACGGCGACAUUGUGAGUCUGAUACGGCACAGACUGCUGCGGGAGGGAGCAGUGGGGAAUAUUACACAAUGGGCGGAGGUCUGAUGCAGCGACGCCGCGUGGGGGAUGACGGCCUUCGGGUUGUAGAUGCCUUUCAGCCAGGGCGAAGCGCUUGUGGUGACGGUAGUGGUAGAAGAAGCACCGGCUAACUACGUG